GGGAGAGAUAGGAUCUUACCCAGCCAGAUUUGGACCCCAGGCCCUGUGGUUGGGGCCCUGUGGGACUGGGGACAUCUGACUUCCUGGGCUUGGGUUCCUGAGAGCCUCAUUUGCUUCCUCACACCCUGUCCCCUUCACACCAGGGCUGUUUUAUUGUUUUAUAACCUUCUUUAGCGCUUCAGUUGCCAAAGAUGCCCGAUGAGGCUAUUCUCUACUUUCUCACAUCACCAAACCCCAAGUCUUGCUGUUUUAAGCAGUUUGGUCACUUGCAAAGGCUUCCCUUCCAGAUCUAAGCAAAUUACAGAAACCUCUAGGCAUGUGGCUACCUUCAACUUUUGCUGAGCCCAUUCACAACAAUACAGAGCCAAGUGUUAACUCCAACUGCCACCCCCACCCCCAAGCCCACCCAGCCUCCAACCACGCUUUUCUUAUUGAAGCUAAAACAAAAUCUGAAAUAACUUCUGGUAUAAGCCAAUAGAAAUGACCUUUGGCUUUCCUCUUUAUUUACCACAUCUAGAGCUAGAAAAUGAUUGAAAUAAAGGAGUUGAUGGUACUCACAGCCGAUGCAGCCAAAGAAUCAUAAGACAUGCCCACCAACCAGCCUUUUCCAAAUAGCACUAUCUCCCCCUCUAAACAGAGUCCCUGAAAAGAUACUAUUUGAAAAGACCAGGGUAUUGAUAUGAAUAUGACUCCCCCCCCUUGAAUCCUAGAUAUUUGGAACUAUUUAAAUGUGAGGGAACAGUUGCAGUGAACCUUUAUUUAGUGAAUAAAAGUUUAAAGCCGAAGGUUAUUUAUGGUUCUGCAGAGAUGGGACCUGAGUGGCUAUUUACGAGCACGUGAUUCCAAUAAACUUUGUUUUAUGGCUUGAGAGUUGACAAGCCAAAAUAUAAUUCCCACCAUAAAUUAGGUUAAGAGCAUACAAGUGCAGAUGCUUGGUUCUUGGAGCAGCGAUAGGAAAGUGAGAGGCUCCAGCUAGCGCCGGGUUCAGAAGGAGACAGGUCUGCUCCCAGCUCCCCUGCCCACUAGGAGAGAAAACCAGUAAGUCACUUAUUACUUUUUCCAGGACAACUCCAGGGGUGGGGGAUUUCUCUGCCCCAUCUUUUCUGCCUGGUGGUGGGGAGAAGUCUCAUGGAAGUUAAUUUUAGCUUAACCUAAAUCAAGAAAUAGGAUGGGAAUCCCCUCUCCCUUCUAGACAUAGAAAGUUAGGAAUUGAGGGUUCUCACCUUACCAGAGGAACUUUCUGUCUCUCACCUCCUCAGAGUGAAGUUCUGCUUCAGAAGUGGAAUAAAAUGGGUAGCCUAGGUGGACAGAUAUAAAGUUUAAGAAUGGAGAUGCUCUGCCUCUGCGAUUUCUCAGAGAAGACCCCUGUCCCAGACUAAAACUAGAGGCGACUGAAAGCUGGACACCAGCCCCUGAGAGGACCACUGCUUUAAGGAAACACACAAAGGCCCGUUUUCUCCUCGCUUCCCGUUUUCCCACGGGGGAAACCCUGUUACAGGCCGCCUGAGUCGGGCCAGGCAAAAAGUUCGGGACCGUGAGACACCACUCCUGUGAGUACCUCCCCGUUUCUUCCGAAUCGCGAAGGGGCGGUAUUGGUAACGGGGCGGGUGUGGGGAGAAGGGCCGAGCCAGGGGGUGUGGGCGGGUGGAUAAACGGCCCUUGCCUCCCCAGGCCCGGGUAAGCGAGGGGAGUCCGUUUGGAACUGGAGGAUCUAAGCUGGACUCCCGGGAAGAUUUUCUGGGGCCUAGUUUCCAGUCACCUAACUAAAGGAACGCGUCGCGAGCACUCGCACUUGCCUCCUUGGGCCUCCCUGGCCCUUCCCGGCCUCCCCAGGCCCCCCCAGCUCGCACAGGUGCAGCUCCGCCUCAGCGGACGCGUCUGUGAAGAGCUUGCAGCUAAUUAGCAGCCUGCCCUAUUAACAAGUUGCGCCGAGCAUCGCCUUCUGCUCGAACCAACCUGCUAAGCACCCAGGCAACGCGAUCCCCAUUCGCCGCCCAGCCCAGCUUAACCCGGUCCAGCCUGGCCCCGACCUUCUCUCCUUUUUUGUUUUUAAUAAAAAGAAGGUGCGGGGGUGGGGGGACGCAACCCGUUACGGCUGCGGGUGUGUUGGGUUGGCCCGCUUCCGGGAAGGGCUGAAAAUUCUGAGCUUUAUGUGAAAGUCCCUCCUACCCUCUCCCCCGGCCCAGCCCCGGCCUCAGCAAUCUGGGUCCCGGGUUGGGGACUCGGGCUGAGGAGGGAGAGAUACGGCCCUUCGAAUUCACUCCUGCUUCUCUCUAACUGCAAUUCGAGAAUUUCUGCACCAGAGCCGCUAGCGUUGCAGGCAGACAAG
ensembl:lncRNA